GGGAGUACAUGGGGUCUGGUGGCCUCGUCAGUCUUCAAAAUUGGUCGGCGCUAUGACGAAUAGCGUUGGUGUGUUCGAUUCGCACGUACUCCC
rnacentral:tRNA from 1 species